UGGGGAAUAUUGCACAAUGGGCGCAAGCCUGAUGCAGCGACGCCGCGUGAGGGAUGACGGCCUUCGGGUUGUAAACCUCUUUCGCUAGGGACGAAGCGUAAGUGACGGUACCUGGAGAAGAAGCACCGGCCAACUACGUGCCAGCAGCCGCGGUAAUACGUAGGGUGCGAGCGUUGUCCGGAAUUACUGGGCGUAAAGAGCUCGUAGGCGGUUUGUCGCGUCGUCUGUGAAAUUCUGCAACUCAAUUGCAGGCGUGCAGGCGAUACGGGCAGACUUGAGUACUACAGGGGAGACUGGAAUUCCUGGUGUAGCGGUGAAAUGCGCAGAUAUCAGGAGGAACACCGGUGGCGAAGGCGGGUCUCUGGGUAGUAACUGACGCUGAGGAGCGAAAGCGUGGGGAGCGAACAGG
rnacentral:rRNA from 1 species